UCAGAAUGUUCAGGCCGUGGCUGGAGAGGAGUGUCGGCGGGAUCGGUCCGGAGAGGGCGUUGCAGUCCAGGUACACCGACGACAGCACUCGCAUCUUCCCGAGCGUGUUCGGGAUCCUCCCGCUGACUCGGUUACUGGACAGGUCCAGAUCGGCGAGCCGUUCCAUGUAUCCGAUCGAGGGGGGGAUGGCGCCGGUGAUCUGGUUCCUCGCAAGCAGCGCUCUACUCAGCAUUCCAAGUUUCCCGAACGUCACCGGGAUGUCGCCGGUGAUGCGGUUGUUGCUCAGGUCGAGGUGCAUCAAGGAAGCGAGGUUGGGGAGGGAUCGCGGGAUCUGGCCGGAGAUCUGGUUUUCGGCGACGGAGAGGACUGUG
rnacentral:lncRNA from 1 species